GACAAAUUGGGUUUUUUCUCCUGUCAACAUGGGUCUCCUGCCACCAGAAGAGGCCAGGCAAGCUUAGGACUGCAGCUUUCCUGUCCUUGUUGAAAUGGAGCAGCCCUAAGGGCUUCAUCUUGGCUAUCUGUUGAGAAGCUGACUGUAGAUGAGCAGUUCCAGUCUCCUGCCCACUUCUGGAGGAAACACACAGCUACACAUAAACUGCUCUCUAAGUGGACAAGAGCCUCAAGACACAUUCUGUGUUGUUUCACAGUUCUGUGCACAGCCCCUGAAGAUAAAAGAAAUGCUUUGACAGAGAGAUGAAGAAAGACCCUGAAUGGAAUGUGACACAAGGCAGGCUUCAGUGGAGAUGAGAUUUAAAUAAUCCCUUUUAAAGAGCCAUAGAGGAUUGUGACCCUUGAACUUCCUACGUGAACCAAGAACAAAUUCUUUGACAGGACAACGAGAAAAGAACAAAUUCUGAAUGUUUGUACUGAAGAGAGCUGUUGUUGUUGAUAAGCAAAAUUACCAAGGAGGCCGACCAAGCCUAGUUUUCACAAAUGCCCCUAUGAAUGUGGAAGCUUAGCUGUAUUGUAUGUUCAGAAUUUGAAAAUACUUGAAAAGUACGUGAUUACAGAGGCUGUGGAAAUGAAAAGCGGCUGGAAAAGAAAAUAAAACAAGGAUUUCUGUAAAGGAGAAAUUGCUUACCAGCACACCAAUCCCCCUUAUUUUUUGGCUAAGUUAGUUAUCUGAUUCUAGGAAUUUGCUUACCAAUAUUUGGUAGAUGAAUAAACAGAGGAUUAGGGCUCUAGCCAGGAAAUUUUCUUACAUUAAAUGCUAGAAAGAGUAAGUGGUUCUUUGAAAAUGCUUACUAAAUACAGACUAUUGGUCAAGUAAAAACAGCAUGCUGAGUCAAAUAGUUGUGUUUCUUCAUAGGACACAUUAAGGACCUCUCGUCACAGAUGGAACUCAGAGAUGGAGUGUCCAAAGGGACAAGUGGGCCAGAAUACUGACUGGUCUGACCAGUUAUUCUUUACAAUGGUCUUGCUUAACCGAACAGAGAAGUGACCAUAAAGAAAAAAAAUCAUGCAAUCCUUUUGUAAAACUGUAAAGAAAAGCCCCAGGGUUGUGGUCAGUGGAAUUCCAGAGCUAGGCAAAUCCCAAUGAGAAGUACCAACAGUGAGGAAAUGGGAAGUUAGAUGCCCAUUCAUUUUUUAAAUAAAUCUUUUAGUAUACUGCUUUAUGCAAAAGUUGCCAAUUCUCUUGGAAAAAUCUGCUAAAUAUGCUAUCAUGGUCUGAACUGUUAUUAUAAUAAUUAUACUCAUACUAAAAACAUUGGGUUAAGAACAUUUUGGAGGGGCAUUGUUCUAAAGCUGACCACUUGGGAGAUAAUAUGGAACUCCAGUUUGGGGAAAUGAUAAAAGUUAAGUAGGAAAAGGGAUACUUCAUGCUUAAAACACAUAAGAAAAAAUCCUAGAAUGAAAUAUUUUAAAAAUGGGACUUUUCAAAGGUUUUAUUAGAAUUACAUAGAUUUUUUUUGAACUUGUAAGUUCAGGCUAUAGAAUCCACCAUUUGUUCAAUGUAUUAGUUACUGGGGCUUCAUUUUGGAAGGUUGUUUAGUAGUAUCUUAAGUAUUCUAUGGGUCAGAGGAUAAAUCCCCAAGAGUACAGAAUCUCUCUUCUUUUGACAGAAUCACAUACAAACCUUUGAAAUCUUUAAACUAAAUAUUUCCUCCUUUAACUUAAAUCAAAUUUCGUUUUUCUCAGAAGGCUUUUAGUUAACUUUUAUGAUUUUUGCCAGAAAAUAGUGAAAUAAUAAAACCCUCUUUUAGGUCAAUAGUUCACCCCCUUCUCGUUCUCUCUCUCUCUCUCUCUCUCUCUCUCUCUAAUAUACAUACACACACACAAUAUGUCCAGUACAUGUUUUUUUAAUGUGUUUGAAAAUUAAAAGGAAGUAGAUUUUCUUUUGUAACUCUACCUUUCCACUUUAACUUUCUUAUUUGUAAGAACAUAGCAUUUAAUUUUUUUAAGAAUUGGAAAUUUUGAUAGAAUUUAACUUAGGUUGAUACAAAUUGCUACAAAUGAAUUAGUCUAACAACUGAAUUUGUAAAUAUUUGUGAUAAUCAGUAGGAUAAUUAAAUGAAAUCUAGCUCAAGCCAGCAAUUAUUCAAUCUUAAACACACACACUCACUCACACACACACACACACACACACACACAUACACACACACACACACAAAUACACACUCAUUUCCUACUCACUGGUAAAGGAGAAAUGGGUUUAGAUGUAUUGCCACCCAGUAUGCAAAACAAUCUGUGAAACUUUUAGAAAUAAAGGCCAAUUUAAUAGUG